UGAUUCCAAGACCUGCUCGAGUCGAUGGGAAGCUCCUCAGAGGGUUGGAUCAGGGCCUGAAAAGUGCAGCCAGGAGGAAAAAUGUAAAUGCAGGACCCUCCACAAGGUGCCUCAGCUCAUCCCAGUGGUUGCCACAGAGCCCUGCCAAGAAAACCUGCAGUGGGAAGCAUCCAGCAGCCCUGCUGGGGCUCAGCAAGGAAUGAGAUGCUGCUCCCAAUCCCCCUGGAUCACCAGGAAGGAGCUGAUUUCUGUCAGGUUACUCCAGUAUGUCCGUGGAGCUCCUGAUGGCUGUUCCUAGCUGGAUGCAGCUCCCAAGCCACCUCCUCUGAGGGAAUGUGGAGGUGUAGAUGCUGCUGUGGGGUUCUUGAUGAGCCUUUUGUCACUAAUGCAGGAAGGAAGGAAGAGUUACUCAGUGCUGAUCACACCAAAUUUUGCAGCAGACCUCAUUUAAAACCUCACUCCCAAGGCACUGGGAGCUGCAACCCUGGGCACGGAUCUGGAC